GGCUCAGGAUGAACGCUGGCGGCGUGCUUAACACAUGCAAGUCGAACGAUGACUUCUGUGCUUGCACAGAAUGAUUAGUGGCGAACGGGUGAGUAACACGUGAGUAACCUGCCCUUAACUUCGGGAUAAGCCUGGGAAACCGGGUCUAAUACCGGAUACGACCUCCUGGCGCAUGCCAUGGUGGUGGAAAGCUUUAGCGGUUUUGGAUGGACUCGCGGCCUAUCAGCUUGUUGGUUGGGGUAAUGGCCCACCAAGGCGACGACGGGUAGCCGGCCUGAGAGGGUGACCGGCCACACUGGGACUGAGACACGGCCCAGACUCCUACGGGAGGCAGCAGUGGGGAAUAUUGCACAAUGGGCGAAAGCCUGAUGCAGCGACGCCGCGUGAGGGAUGACGGCCUUCGGGUUGUAAACCUCUUUCAGCAGGGAAGAAGCGAAAGUGACGGUACCUGCAGAAGAAGCGCCGGCUAACUACGUGCCAGCAGCCGCGGUAAUACGUAGGGCGCAAGCGUUAUCCGGAAUUAUUGGGCGUAAAGAGCUCGUAGGCGGUUUGUCGCGUCUGCUGUGAAAGCCCGGGGCUCAACCCCGGGUCUGCAGUGGGUACGGGCAGACUAGAGUGCAGUAGGGGAGACUGGAAUUCCUGGUGUAGCGGUGAAAUGCGCAGAUAUCAGGAGGAACACCGAUGGCGAAGGCAGGUCUCUGGGCUGUAACUGACGCUGAGGAGCGAAAGCAUGGGGAGCGACAGGAUUAGAUACCCUGGUAGUCCAUGCCGUAAACGUUGGGCACUAGGUGUGGGGGACAUUCCACGUUUUCCGCGCCGUAGCUAACGCAUUAAGUGCCCCGCCUGGGGAGUACGGCCGCAAGGCUAAAACUCAAAGGAAUUGACGGGGGCCCGCACAAGCGGCGGAGCAUGCGGAUUAAUUCGAUGCAACGCGAAGAACCUUACCAAGGCUUGACAUGAACCGGUAAGACCUGGAAACAGGUCCCCCACUUGUGGCCGGUUUACAGGUGGUGCAUGGUUGUCGUCAGCUCGUGUCGUGAGAUGUUGGGUUAAGUCCCGCAACGAGCGCAACCCUCGUUCUAUGUUGCCAGCGGGUUAUGCCGGGGACUCAUAGGAGACUGCCGGGGUCAACUCGGAGGAAGGUGGGGACGACGUCAAAUCAUCAUGCCCCUUAUGUCUUGGGCUUCACGCAUGCUACAAUGGCCGGUACAAAGGGUUGCGAUACUGUGAGGUGGAGCUAAUCCCAAAAAGCCGGUCUCAGUUCGGAUUGAGGUCUGCAACUCGACCUCAUGAAGUUGGAGUCGCUAGUAAUCGCAGAUCAGCAACGCUGCGGUGAAUACGUUCCCGGGCCUUGUAC
rnacentral:rRNA from 1 species